rnacentral:rRNA from 1 species
CGGAGAAAGAACCAACAGGGAUUGCCUCAGUAACGGCGAGUGAAGCGGCAACAGCUCAAAUUUGAAAUCUGGCCCCUUCGGGGUCCGAGUUGUAAUUUGCAGAGGGUGCUUUUGGUGUUGGCCGUGGUCUAAGUUCCUUGGAACAGGACGUCACAGAGGGUGAGAAUCCCGUACGUGGCCGCCGGCCCUCGCCUUGUAAAGCCCCUUCGACGAGUCGAGUUGUUUGGGAAUGCAGCUCUAAAUGGGAGGUAAAUUUCUUCUAAAGCUAAAUACCCGCCAGAGACCGAUAGCGCACAAGUAGAGUGAUCGAAAGAUGAAAAGCACUUUGGAAAGAGAGUGAAAAAGCACGUGAAAUUGUUGAAAGGGAAGCGCUUGCGGCCAGACGUGCCCGCGGUUGUUCAUCUGGGCUCUCGCCCGGUGCACUCCUCCGCGGGCAGGCCAGCAUCAGUUUGGGCGGUCGGACAAAGGUCUCUAUCACGUACCACCCCUCGGGGUGGCCUUAUAGGGGAGACGCAACACGGCCAGCCUGGACUGAGGUUCCGCGCAUCUGCUAGGAUGCUGGCGUAAUGGCAGCAAGCGGCCCGUCUUGAAACACGGACCAAGGAGUCUAACAUCUAUGCGAGUGUUUGGGUGUCAAGCCCGAGCGCGUAAUGAAAGUGAACGGAGGUGGGAACCCCUCGGGGCGCACCAUCGACCGAUCCUGAUGUCUUCGGAUGGAUUUGAGUAAGAGCAUAGCUGUUGGGACCCGAAAGAUGGUGAACUAUGCCUGAAUAGGGUGAAGCCAGAGGAAACUCUGGUGGAGGCUCGCAGCGGUUCUGACGUGCAAAUCGAUCGUCAAAUUUGGGCAUAGGGGCGAAAGACUAAUC